UCUUGGAAAAUGCAACAUUUGGGUGAGAAGG
rnacentral:piRNA from 1 species